CGUGUCCCACGCCCCACGUCCCACUCUUCCCACCCCCUCGCCUCCGAUCCCAUCUCUCUCCCGCCCCCACGCGCGACACAUCGCGAUCCGCUGUUGGGUGCCGGGAAGGGGCCUUCCGCCCGCAGAGAGAGAGAGGGAGGGAGGGAGCAGCGGCGGUGCUGUUGGCCUUUCACCCGCAGAGAGAGAGAGGGAGGGGAGGAGGAGGAGGAGCGCAGCGGCGGUGCUGGCCGAUCCCGUGCCGCUGGAUCCGGAUCCUCGGGAAAAGCUGAUGCGGCCGACGUCUAUGUAUGCAGUUCAGCGCGCCUGUCCUCCGCCCUCCUCAAUUUCCUCGACAAAAUGGAGGUCAGUAGGGAUGACAUGGACAGGGACCUCGCUAACAGGCUCCGCCUCGCACCCAUGAGUCUUGCAUCACCACCAUGAUGGCCAGAGCCUCCUCCGAUGGACACCGAGUGGGGAUGAGCUGAGGCCAAGAACACAUCGGGAUGGACGAAGAGGGGCAACAAGUUGCCAGGGGGCGGGUGGUGGAGCUGCCACGCGGGCUGACGCCGGGGUCAUACAACAAGUAUGUCGCACACCUUGAGCGGGGAUGAGCUGUAGAUGGUGUCGCGUGGUUCAUGAUGGAGCUGCUGGGGAUUAAGACCCGUGGAGAUCCUCCACUUCAACCCGUAUGGGCAUAUGGUAGAAAGAAUGAGAAACUGGGGCCCAGUGGAGCAAAGGAAAAGUGUAACAGAAAUUAGAGAGCUGGUGGCUAAGUAGAUUAUCAGGGAAUCAAAAGCCCCAAGGAUAAGAAGCAUUUGGAGCUGCAAAUGUGACAUUUAUUUCUUGAAAUAUUCACAGCAUGUAUUGUGACUGAUUGUUCUUUUUGCAGAACCAGUGACUAUUUACAAUUCGAUGUAAUCUUGACAUAUAGGUAUCCCAACAGAGGUUGUUGGAUGUCAACAACUAAUCACGAUAUCUCAGUAUUAAUUUAUUACAAACUCUACUUUUCUUGGACUAACUAGCAUUUUGAUGGAAAGACAAUACAAUGUGUGUCUCCAAUGAAAUCAAUUUGCAUCACUGCUACCAUCCCAACUAGAGACUAUUCUAGAAUGAGUGAACUGCUACCAUCCAACAAUGUGAAGGUGAGACUUGUUUCUUUGCUUUGUAGGCAUUGUGUAAAAAUUAUUUAUUGCAACUGGAAUCUGUGUGUAUGGUGCCUUUUUGAAUUGCCAUGGAAUUUGUACUAAAUGUCUAUUAAAAAUGAUUUUUCUGCUGAGUAGCACCAACCAAAUCCAAAUAUAGUUAUUGGAAAUUAUCAGUACUUUGCAAAGUCUGCAAGGAAUUGUAUUAACUAGGAACUCGACGUUGAUUAGCAAAAUUAUCAGGUAUGUGCUAUUAAUGUUGGUUGUACUAAAGGUACUAGGAGGACUUCAGGAAGGGUCCAUUUUUAACCUCAUAAUGGGACAAAUUAACAAAGUUGGUCUUUGGUUGUUUGAAGAUAUAGUAAAUGGUCUAAGUGCGGCCUGCCAAAUAAUUAGUCAAGCCUUCUGUUCAGUUCCAUGUUAAUAGGAAAUCCUUCCAAUAUUCCAUUAGCUAAGUUGCAUUUUGGUCAAACCAUCCAAGUGAAUUUCUUAUAGUAUCCCCUGCUUACCUUGUGUUCUGUCCCAUUGCCAUGGUGCUUGGAUACCAGUGCACCUGGAUGAGAAGAAAAGGAUGAUUCAUGAGCUCCGAAUUUGGUAUGAAUAUGAUGCAGUGCACCUUACUAUUUUGUUCAGUUAGUAAGUGUAAGACAGUAAAUUCACUUUGGACUUCCUGUAGCGGUGCCAAAAUUAUUAUUUCAAAAGUCUCCAUUUCUAAAAAAAACACCACAAAAUUCACACAUGUAGUAUUCUACAUGUUAUUUGAGCUUAUAAAACUACAACAAUUUAAAUGAAUGCAGCAUGUGCAAAAAUAAGAAGGUUUGUCGUGUUUCUACAGAUUUCUAUUUGCAUUUCGUUCCCUCUGCUUGUUAUUUUUGUAUAGGAUGCAAAUAUCAGUACUAUUAUUUUUAACCUUUUGAGAUGAUAAAUAACAUUCAUAUGUAGUGAUUUUGUAGCGUGGACACGAGCGCCGGUGCUCAAGAGGCAAAAGGCUGUGUUUGUAUAAGAUAAUAUUUGUUUAAACAAGCUCAUAAGCUGCAUACGACAUACAUGAUGCAUAGUAUUGUGAUGAUUUGAUAAAUGUCUCUUUGUGUAAGUUUGUUGUCCCGUGGCAACGCACGGGCGUUCAACUAGUCUAACAUAAAAUAUGGAUGCUCACCUGAUCACCCCAGCGCUAUCUAUUUUCUCCCACGCGGCUUGCGGCCCAGCAAAGGCCUAGCACUCUAUUUUUUCAAGCCCGGUGAAGCACUGCAGGUCAUCGGUAGUACUAUUCAUUAGUAUGAACGGCCCACUC